ensembl:lncRNA
AUGGUUGUGGAAGCCUCAGUUUCUGUUGAUGUUGCUGUUGUUGUUGUACUUGGUGAGGAUAUGAGAGUGGUUGUGGGGGUCACCUCUAUGGUUGUGGAAGCUUCAGUUUCUGUUGAUUGUGCUGUUGUUGUAUUUAGUGAGGAUAUCAGAGUGGUUGUUGGUGUCACCUCUGUAGUUGUGGAAGCUUCAGUUUCUGUUGAUGGUACUGUUGUUGUACUUCGUGAUGAUAUGAGAGUGGUUGUGGGGGUCACCUCUGUAGUUGUGGAAGCUUCAGUUUCUGUUGAUGGUGCUGUUGUUGUUGAACUUCGUGAUGAUAUGAGAGUGGUUGUGGGGGUCACCUCUCUAGUUGUGGAAGCUUCAGUUUCUGUUGAUGGUGCUGUUGUUGUUGUACUUGGUGAGGAUAUGAGAGUGGUUGUGGUAGUCACCUCUUUGGUUGUGGAAGCUUCAGUUUCUAUUGAUGGUGCUGUUGUUGUAUUUAGUGAGGAUACCAGAGUGGUUGUGGGGGUCACCUCUAUGGUUGUGGAAACUUCAGUUUCUGUUGAUGGUGCUGUUGUUGUUGAAGCAGCAUUUGUUGUUGAUGGUGCAGUUGUACUUGGUGAGGAAAUGAGAGUGGUUGUGGAAGCUUCAGUUUCUGUUAAUGGUGCUGUUGUUCUUGGUGAGGAUAUGAGAGUGGUUGUGGUGGUCACCUCUUUGGUUGUGGAAGCUUCAGUUUCUGUUGAUGGUGCUGUUGUUAAUGAAGCAGCAUUUGUUGCUGUUGAAGGUGCAGUUGUACUUGGUGAGGAUAUAAGUGUGGUUGUGGGGAUCACAUCUCUGGUUGUGGAAACCUCAGUUUCUGUUGAUGGGGCUGUUGUACUUGGUAAGGAUAUGAGAGUGGUUGUGGUAGUCACCUCUAUGGUUGUGGAAGCUUCCGUUUCUGUUGAUGGUGCUGUUGUUGUUGUACUUGGUGAGGAAAUGAGAGUGGUUGUGGUGGUCACCUCUAUGGUUGUGGAAGCUUCAGUUUCUGUUGAUGGUGCUGUUGUUGUUGAAGCAGCAUUUGUUACUGUUGAAAGUGUAGUUGUACUUGGUGAGGAUAUAAGUGUGGUUGUGGGGGUCACCUCUAUGGUUGUGGAAGCGUUGGUUUCUGAUGAUGGUGCUAUUGUUGUACUUGGUGAGGAUAUAUGUGUGGUUGUGGGAAUGACAUCUAUGGUUGUGGAAGCUUCAGUUUCUGUUGAUGGUGCUGUUGUUGUUAAAGCAGCAUUUGUUGCUGUUGAUGGUGCAUUUGUACUUGGUGAGAAUAUGAGAGUGGUUGUGGGGAUCACAUCUGUGGUUGUGAAAGCUCCAGUUUCUGUUGUCAUUGAAAAUGACAUUGCUGUUUGACCUGUAGCUGUUGCUGAAGAUACAUUUUCUGUAGGAGCCUCAGUUGUAGAUGCAAUUGAUAUUGAAUCAGUAGUUGUUGGAGAUGUAGUUGUGAAAGUCGCAGCUAUGCAUGUAUUUUGUUUGAGGAUCAUAGCUGUGGUAAGAGAUGCUUUAGUUCUUAUUAUACAAACUUCACUGGCUGUUGAAAUUGGUGUUGUUGGUGUUAUGGAGGUUGUACCUCCACAAACAAUGCACCAUACAUAUACUGUCAAGAAAAAAAAAAAAAAAAGAAAAAAAAAUCAUUUAAUUGCUGUAUUAACUUUUGACCAUUUGAAAUUUAAAUUACACUAUUAUCAAAUUCCAUGAACAUUUUAAUAGCAUUUGAUUACGUCACAUUUUUAUUUAACAAUUUCUCAACACAAAAUAUCCAGAUUAAGAGUAUACGUACAUAUGGUGAGGAAUACGGUCCAUCUGGCCUCAUAUUUUGAAAUGAAACACCACCUAAAAUAGAAGAUAAACAAUUUAUAUUUUGUCUUUAAUAAAUUACAAAACAUUCAUGUAUUCAUGCUACUGAAUGCAACUUCUAAUUCACUGUGUUUAUUAAACAAAAUCUGUAAUUGUAUUUAAGGAGUAUAAUUAUAUGAAGAAGCACUGUAAGUCAAGACAAAGCUCUCAGCCAGGCCAGUUUACAUUAUAUGUUAGGGACCAGUUGGACUCUGCAUUCAAGAUAUAUACAUUUCUAUCAGCUUGCAUUCCCUGGGAAUAAAACCCAUGCACAGAGUCAUUCAAACAAACACUAAACACCAUCAAGGUAACACAAGUGAAACUGAAAGAAUGCAAUAAACAUUAAUUAAAAAAAUUAGAUGUAACAUACUACCCUAAUGUACAAAACUGAUGAGAAAAAAAAAACUAAGAAACAUUAUUUAAAAAAAAAAAAAAAAAAAAAAAACAUCAAACUUGAAAUGUAAUGCAGGGAAUUCUGGGAAUAUCAAUUUAUGGUUAUUCACUGUAAAUUAUAUGUUCUUUUUCUCACUUCCAAAAAUGGUAUACUACUGUAAAAUUACAUGUAUUGUCCAAUUCAGUUUUUCACCGUAUAUAGUAUCACAUAUCAUUAACCAUUUAACAGGUUUUUACUAUAGCAUUUUUAGCAAACUGUAGUCUUUUACCGUUAAAUUCACUGUCAUUUUUUACAGUGUUCUUUAAGGUUAGAUGAAAGCUGUUCCCGAUUAACCCAGAGGAAAAUGCUAAUCCAGAUGACUGUGAAUUGUUUUGUAACUGUCUUUUGGCAUGAAUUUGCAGUUUUUUCAGCUCUAAUCAAUGCUCAUGAAACAUCUGAUGUGUAUUCAUGGUUUUGCUGUGACUACCACAUGCUAAUUACUGUGAAGUCCACAACAUCAUAGGGCAGUGGUUCCCAAUCCUGUCCUGGAGAGCCCCCAAAACUGCACCUUUUGAUGUCUCUCUUAUCUGACACACAUUUUAGGUCUUGGAGUUUUUACUAAUGAACUGAUGAGUUCAAUCAGGUGUGUUUGAUUAGGGAAUCAUUUAAAAUAUGCAAUGUUGGGGGCAGUGGUUCCCAAUCCUGGUCCUGGAGAACUCCCAACAAUGGACGUUUUUGAUGUCUCUAUUAUCUAACACACAUUUGAGGUCUUGGAGUUUAUACUAAUGAACUGAUGAGUUCAAUCAGGUGUGUUUGAUUAGGGUGACAUUAAAAAUAUACAGUGUUGGGGAUUCUCCAGGACCAGGAUUGGGAACCAAUGCCAUAAGGUAUCCUAUUUGUCAUUUUAGAUUUCAAAAGUCUGCUCAUGAGCACCCCCUGGUGACUGAAUACAUAGCCUCAAUGCAUACUUUUGCCAUCUAUCCAGUGCACUACCCAACAAAUUUAUACAGCAUUAGGUCACCAAUGUAUGAAUGUGAUGUCACCAGUAAUUAUUAAUCAUUUCUGAUUUAAUUAUCAUCUAUUAAAGCUCAAAAUGGGUUCGACAUAAUACCAAAUUUAAUAACUGGGUUACUUCAAUUUGCGAGACGGAAUUUUACGUAAAUCCAAUUGGCCUCAUUUUUUUAUCUAUCUAUCUAUCUAUCUAUCUAUCUAUCUAUCUAUCUAUCUAUCUAUCUGCCUGUCUAUCUGUCUGUCUAUCAUUCUGUCCAUCUCUCUGUUUUUCUACUUUUCAACAAACAAGGCUUUUUCAAGCCAACAUUCUUGCUUUUCUAGAUGAAAAUUACAGAUUUUUUUAUUUUUUUAAUUCAGUUUAAUUCUACUUCCUUACUUGGUGCCUCAUUUGAAAUUUAAGUUUAAGAAAUGAAUUGUAAUUUACAUUACAUUACAUUUACAUUUAGUCAUUCAGUAGACGCUUUUAUCCAAAGCAAACAAAUGAGGAUGACGGAAGCAAUCAAGAUCAAUAAAAGAGCAAUUAUAUGCAAGUGCUCUAACAAGUCUCAGUUAACUUAAUGCAGUACAUGUGGCAAAGUUUUUUAAAUCAUAAAUAAAAUAAAAUAAAAUAAAAUAAAAUAAAAUAAAAUAAAAUAAAAUAAAAUAAAAUAAAAUAAAAUAAAAUAAAAUAAAAAGAUAGAAUAGGAAAAGAAUAGAGCAAGCUAUAGUGUUAGAGGCCUUUUUUGCUUUUGGUAAUUGUAUAAUCAAUAAAAAAAGAAAACAGAUAGAAUACAAAAAGAUUAGAGAAGCUAGUGUUAGUUUCUUUUUUUUUUUUAAAGAAAACAAGUUGUUAGUAAAAGAAUAAAAUUAGAAUAGAGAGUGCUAGAGUUAUAGGGUCAAAUAAAGAUGGAAGAGAUGUGUUUUUAGCCAAUUCUUAAAGAUGGCUAAGGACUCAGCUGCUCGGAUUGAGUUGGGCAGGUCAUUCCACCAGAAGGGAACAUUUCAUUUAAAAGUCUGUGAAAGUGAAUUUGUGCCUCUUUGGGAUGACACAAUAAAGCGACGUUCACUUGCAGAACGCAAGCUUCUAGAGGGCACAUAAGUCUGAAGUAAUGUAUUUAGGUAAUGCAGUGCAAAUUUUAAUUUAGCAAUUUAAAAGGCAUUCUUAAUUAAAUUCUUAAUUGCUUUAAAGUUAAUACAAGUUUACAACAAAUCACAAAAGCAGACACAGGGCUAUUUUAAACAGAUAACAUUUUUACAUACUAUAAAUGUUGUUGUAUUGAAUAUUAUGUAUUAUUGAGUGCUAUACAGUAUUAUAUGCUGUAUGAUUUCAAUCAUUUUAAAUGUAAUAAUUCACCUACCUCCUUCGGCUGUUUAAAGUCAUAACCAUAUAGACCAAACGGUAUUGCAAAGCUCUGUGUGAUUUGUCUUCUUAGUUCAAAUGUAACAGACUGAAAAGAGUAAUUUUGUGCGAUACUAUAUCAAAGGUAUGUUGACGUGUAGGGUGUGGUAAAAAGUGUAGUUCAGCGACCGAACCCUGUAGUACGCAAUACAGAAGCAUGAUGGUAUUAUUU